rnacentral:rRNA from 1 species
CUGCGCGGAAGAUGUAACGGGGCUAAACCAUGCACCGAAGCUGCGGCAGCGACGCUUAGGCGUUGUUGGGUAGGGGAGCGUUCUGUAAGCCGUUGAAGGUGGCCUGUGAGGGCUGCUGGAGGUAUCAGAAGUGCGAAUGCUGACAUAAGUAACGAUAAAGCGGGUGAAAAGCCCGCUCGCCGGAAGACCAAGGGUUCCUGUCCAACGUUAAUCGGGGCAGGGUAAGUCGACCCCUAAGGCGAGGCCGAAAGGCGUAGUCGAUGGGAAACAGGUUAAUAUUCCUGUACUUGGUGUUAUUGCGAAGGGGGGACGGAGAAGGCUAGACCGGCCGGGCGACGGUUGUCCCGGUUUAAGCGUGUAGGUGUGAUGACCUGGCAAAUCCGGUCAUCUUUAACACUGAGGCGUGAUGACGAGGCACUACGGUGCUAAAGUGGUUAAUGCCCUGCUUCCAGGAAAAGCCUCUAAGCUCCAGAUAACACUGAAUCGUACCCCAAACCGACACAGGUGGUCAGGUAGAGAAUACCAAGGCGCUUGAGAGAACUCGGGUGAAGGAACUAGGCAAAAUGGUGCCGUAACUUCGGGAGAAGGCACGCUGGCAUGUAGGUGAAGUCCCUUGCGGAUGGAGCCGAAGCCAGUCGAAGAUACCAACUGGCUGCAACUGUUUAAUAAAAACACAGCACUCUGCAAACACGAAAGUGGACGUAUAGGGUGUGACGCCUGCCCGGUGCUGGAAGGUUAAUUGAUGGGGUCAGCCGCAAGGCGAAGCUCUUGAUCGAAGCCCCAGUAAACGGCGGCCGUAACUAUAACGGUCCUAAGGUAGCGAAAUUCCUUGUCGGGUAAGUUCCGACCUGCACGAAUGGCGUAAUGAUGGCCAGGCUGUCUCCACCCGAGACUCAGUGAAAUUGAACUCGCUGUGAAGAUGCAGUGUACCCGCGGCAAGACGGAAAGACCCCGUGAACCUUUACUAUAGCUUGACACUGAACAUUGAACCUUGAUGUGUAGGAUAGGUGGGAGGCUUUGAAGUGUGGACGCCAGUCUGCAUGGAGCCGACCUUGAAAUACCA